GAACAUGGCUCAGGAUGAACGCUAGCUACAGGCUUAACACAUGCAAGUCGAGGGGCAUCAGGGUGUAGCAAUACACCGCUGGCGACCGGCGCACGGGUGAGUAACACGUAUCCAACCUGCCCUUUACUCGGGGAUAGCCUUUUCGAAAGAAAGAUUAAUACCCGAUGGUAUAACAUGACCUCCUGGUUUUGUUAUUAAAGAAUUUCGGUAGAGGAUGGGGAUGCGUUCCAUUAGGCAGUUGGCGGGGUAACGGCCCACC
rnacentral:rRNA from 1 species